rnacentral:rRNA from 1 species
AACGAACGCUGGCGGCAGGCUUAACACAUGCAAGUCGAACGGGUGUAGCAAUACAUCAGUGGCAGACGGGUGAGUAACACGUGGGAACCUUCCUCGUUGUACGGAACAACUCAGGGAAACUUGAGCUAAUACCGUAUACGUCCGAGAGGAGAAAGAUUUAUCGCAAUGAGACGGGCCCGCGUCGGAUUAGCUAGUUGGUAAGGUAACGGCUUACCAAGGCGACGAUCCGUAGCUGAUCUGAGAGGAUGAUCAGCCACACUGGGACUGAGACACGGCCCAGACUCCUACGGGAGGCAGCAGUGGGGAAUCUUGGACAAUGGGCGCAAGCCUGAUCCAGCCAUGCCGCGUGAGUGAAGAAGGCCUUCGGGUUGUAAAGCUCUUUUGUCAGGGACGAUAAUGACGGUACCUGAAGAAUAAGCCCCGGCAAACUUCGUGCCAGCCGCCGCAGUAA